rnacentral:pre_miRNA from 1 species
AGCUUCCUGAAUCCGUGCAGAAAUUUCGUCAGGCAAAAGCCCAUUAGGGCUGACCAGACUCUCAACGGAAGUGAAGUU